CUCAGCCGGGGAUCCUUCCCCAAGCAGCAGUGUGCCGCCCCUCACGCCCGCGUCCCCGCGAACAUGGACGCAAUCCCCGUGCUGUGACACUGACACCAUGGCUAUGACCUCGCCAGGCCAUCGUGAUCUCCAGGGCCAGCCUGCGUGUGGCCCAAGUGGAUCAAAACGUCCUGUGGGGCUGGGGAUGUGGCUCAAGCGGUAGCGCACUCGCCUGGCAUGCGAGGGGUGCUGGGUUCGACCCUCAGCACCUCAUAAAGAUAAAAUAAAGAUGUUGUGUCCACCGAAAACUGAAAAUAUUUUAAAAUUCUCUCUCUCUCUCUCCUCUCUCUCUCUCUCUCUUAGAAAAAAAAAAGAAAAGUCCUGUGCAGCGUGACUUACAGGAGACCCCAGGGCUGGAGAAUGGACACUGGGUGUGACGUCUCAGGAGCUCACGGUCACGGGUGGAUCCUCCCCAGGGACUGUGCUGUAGAAGGGCCACAGCCCCCAGAGCUUCCCCCGGGCACUGAGCAUGAAGAGGCCAGGAAACAGAAGGUCUCCAAGGGCCUCCACGUGCACCUGUGAGCACCUGCUCUGCCGGGGGGCAGCCGGCACGGGACAGGAGCUCUCUCCUAACUCACAAGACGCUGCAGGGCUGCUCCUCGUUCCUGGCCUUGGCUGUCCUCCUGUGUGACAUGCAGUGCAGAGGUCAAGGCAAAGGACAGGUCCGGUGUCCAGCCCUCCGCAUGCUGUCCUCUUAUGAGCUGUGCCUGGGGCCCAGCUCUUCACAGUGCUGCCCACGGAGAGCCUGGCUCGUGACCGCGUAGGUCUUGCCUUCCAGCGGGGCCUCAUGCUUCUACCGGUUACAACCAGACUCGGGGCCAUUCUGGAUGCCCGCGGUGGCCAUCUCCUUUCCUCUCUCUUUCCCGCCUUCCCUCUGCUCCUGACACGCACACCAGCCCCUCCACCGCUCUCCCCUGCACCCUGCCCCGACCGGGGUCUUUCUGUUUUUAAUCCUCUUCCCUUUCUGAUUCUCGCCGUCUUCAGGAUCAGGACGUCUGCUGCCUUGAACAGCCUGAAGCAGAAGGGUUCCUGGUGGUCACUGCACACCAAGCGGCCAGGGAAGCUACCAUCUUCCUCACUCCCGACCCCAGAGCCCAGGGCUGCAAGGCAGGAGUCAGGGACACCGACUCCGCCACGAACCGAUUUUGGAAUUCCAGCUAAUCGUCUCUCUGUAUCUGCUUUUCUCCCAUAAAUUGAAACAAAAAGGCCUACGUCACUGGGUUGUUCCACAAGUCACUUCUGUCUGGUGAGGGUAAGAGUCCCUGCUCAUGGACACAGAGCCCAGACCCUGUCCCCAGAGCUUCCGGUUCCAAGGUGAGGGUGCAGCCUGAGAACCGGCAUUUCUCUCAAGUUCCUGAUGCUGCUGGCCCAGCAUCUGGGUCAAGGAGCAAUCAAAGGCACAGCCAGAGGAACUCGCCACAUCCCCAGACUCCUUACGGAAGCCUGGACAGCUCCGAGGCUUUCCAGUUGAGCACAUCUGACCCUCUGAAACGAUGCAGCCACCCAUCGUGUCCCUGGGGGACCCAACGCUAAACGAUGCACUUUCCUAACGGGGAGGGGAGGACUGUGAAUGAAAGAUGAAGCCGAGGCCAUUUUCCAGGCCAGGACCCGCAGAGUGAACCAGCCACUAUGCAGAGACAGGGCAGGAGAUGGGGAGGAGGAACCUGGCUCCCGAGUCAGCGCAGGAGUCCAGCAGGAAGGUGCCAUCGGCAGGCUGCAGCCCCACUGGUUACAUGAGCAACAUCUGGAGGGCACAAGUCUGGCCAGUUCAUCAGGAUUUCUGCAUCAGUGUCACUGGGAACCAUUCGUGGCAUCUGACUGGUUGCUGUUAGCCACAGAAAGGGACCGUGUAGCCUUGCUCGGGUGCUGCUAGGUGCUGAGGGUGUGUGGACACUCCACGAGACACUUGCAGGCAGGGCGUCCCUGUCCCACGCUCAGUGACAGGAGGGCCUCUAGGCCCUGGACGACCUGCCUCCCUGAGGCAUCGUGAGUCAGUUUCUGCACGAGUGUGGGGCCCAGGAAGGUCCCUUGUGCCAUCAGUGCUCACCGGGACUCGGGGGCCAUGGCUGCUGUGUCUUCGAAACUGAUGCAACUUCGUGUCUUUUUUUUUUUUUAAGAAUCAAAGAAAUACAUAUUUCAUGGCAAAAAUAAAUUCCUGAAACCAAGCCCUCCCCCCCAUCCCCCCCCAUAGCUGACCCCAAAGGACAAGGCAGGCGCACGUUCCCACAGGAAGAGGAACUUUCCUUGCAGAGUAAAGACACCCUUCCCAGGCCCAGCGCAGACCAGCAAUCGCUGUGCAAGCCACUCCCGUCACACCCGUGCAACUCAGCGUCAACACUGAGUCCAGGUGGGGACCAGAGGACUCCGGGGACGGCGCCAUCGCACUUUCAAGACAUCAAGUCUGUAUCGUUAGUGACAUCCGAGAAGAUACCAGGAAGCUCACGGGAGACCAGUCCCCAGUCCGACUCCUCCCAGCCGGGAGAUGUGAUCACUUCCUUAAGGAGCAUCGCCGUCUCUUCAGUUUCCAGGUCCAGCGGGUGGACCUGGGUCUAGUAUCCACCGUGUCUAACUCAGCGCGUCCACCGACACACGUUCACCGACACACGCACACACCCCGGUAUCUCUGCACUCUGAACUAGCCGCCAUCUGACAGAAACCACCACACUCAUAUGGGUCUGGCCCACAGAACCAGGCCUGGCGGCAGAACCAUGCCCCGUCUGCCCUGAAAAGAAGGCAGCCCGAUGCCCAGGGCAGGGCAAACCCGAAGACGUCACAGAGAGGCCAAAGGCAGGAAGCCAGUGUGGUGAGUCCCGUGUGGAAUGUGCGGAGCAGACGGAUCUGCAGAGACGGAGGGGAGCCCCGGCCUCCCGAGACCAGGGCAGGGAGAGUGGUGCGCGCCAGAGCGUCUCCUGGCGCCUGAGCAACAUGGCGGAGGUGUGGGUGCCAGGGAUCGUGCUCCUAGGUGGUUACGAUACCACCUUUGUGUAUUUUGUCCGAUUUUCUUCACUUAGGCCCAGGGUUGUGUGCCGCACCCUGGAACCCCAGGGGGUCACUCUCCCUCCACCCUGGGGUGAUGCAUGGUGUGGUGCCACUGGACAGCAAGCCCCUCCCCGUGACACGUGCCCUCUUCUGUGGACCGGCAGCAGAGCCCAUCUUUCUAAAGAGCAUCAGAGAGCAGCCAAGUCUUGGUUGCUUUUCCAGUGCUCUCCUGGCGACCUGUGCGCGUCACCUACCUGCUCAACCUAACAGCAAGGAGGCCCCGGGAGCAGCCUUCACACGUGAAACGCAACCCAGGCCCCACGCUCGAUGCCCUGCACAGGGACCCUAAACCUCCACCUCAAGGCCACGCGAGGCCCCCUGCCACCAGGACCCUCUUUACCUGGAAUGGCGUCUGGCUGUUGUAGUUCUUCAGUUCCUUGUUUCCGCCCCGAAACAGGAGCACGCGCGCGCAGCUGUCCUGAAAUCCAAGAGAAGAAGCUGCUGUGACGCCGUGGCCGGGACCAUGUCCCCCAGCCCCGCUCACAGGAGUCCCCGACACCUGCAGGCACAGCGGGGUCCAGGCUCCCACUGCUGGGGCACAGGUGACACCAGUGUGCCCCACACAGGGCGAGGCCUGGCUGCCUUCAGGGCUCACUGUGACCAAGCCACUCCCCCGGGAGGUGGCACUGACAGAACGUCUUGUCAACCUAACGGAUGAAACGCCCACUCUCCUGAGAGAGCGACAGGAAGGGGAACCCGCAGGGGCGUAAAGGGGGGGCCAGGACACCCUCACCCAGGCCACGGCAGGGCCAACGCCGAGGGCCGGGGGGCUCCCAGCAGGGAGGGCAGCCUCCCCCCAAAGGGCAGUUGAGGCCCAUAGUGUGUGUUUUCUGCCUGUUUUGGAGCUGGGGACUGAAGUCGGGAGCACUGCCACCAAGCUACGUCCCCAGUCCCCUUGAUUCUGAGACAGGGCCUUGCUAAGUUUCUGGGGGUCUCGAAAUUCGCCCAGGUUGGCCUGGGACCUGUGAUCCUCCUGCCUCAGCCUCCUGGCCUCUGGGAUCACGGGAACGUCUGCUGCGCCCCAGCUGCACGGGCACCUUAAAAGCUGAGAGUCCAGUAGGAACACAGAGGCAGCGUCUGGGGGACGUGCGGCAGCACCGACUCCCCGGGAGGGAGGGUCAGGGCCAGAGCCGCAGGACGUCCUCCACGGACAUUCACGUGUUUUCACGUUGGGAGGAGCCGCCAAGCCACUUCCUGUGAGUUUUCACAGUGAGAAGGAAUCCACCCUAUUCACUUGGGCCUGGGGCCGAUGAGAUGGGAACCUCCUGCCGUCUCUCCAGAAGUUCCCAGUGAGGACUACGGGACGAACACUACGGAGAAGAAGGCCGAUGGCAGAGAAUCAAAGAACAGGCACUGGCUAUGGACAGGGUCACGUUCUCCCGUGAUUUUGCCAUUGUCCAAACGUGACAGAAUCCACUUACACAAGCGAAGAGGCCUCACACGGCCCCAGGCCACAUAACCUUACGGAAUCCCCACUGCAUGUGGCUGUCGCUGACCGGAAGGCCACAGUGCGCUGCAUGAGAGAAUACUUCUGCCUAGCAAAUGCCGUUGGCUAUUUAGAGUAAGUGUGGCUCUGGACGAGCAUGGAGAUGACGGACGUAGGUGGACAGUGGGCAGCACACAUCAGGCCAGGCAGCCCACUGCGGAGGUGGGCACUUUCCUCCUGAGCCGGGGCCUGUGCACAGCACAGCCGAAUGUCAGGGACCCCACCUUCACCUGCGCUCAGGGACGGGGUCGGGAAGGAUCACCUGGACCUGACACUCCACAUGCUCUCUCCACGAAGGGAUGCUUGAAACAGCCAGCCAGGCCACCACCAGGGAGCUACAGGACACGGCGGGUCGCAGGACCCUGGCCCCAGACCAGGAGGGGAGCCUGCAGUGGGGACCUGCAGGGGCCGGGGUGGGACAGUGCACAGGCCCUAGGACCUGGCAGGACAGCAGCUCUGACAGAGCCCCACAUCCAGAGCAGAGAGCAGGCAAACGACUGCCCAGGCCCGGAGGGCCAGAGGGCCAGAGCACAGCUCACUGCGCAGGGCUCCUGCUGGGAGGGCCAGAGGGCCAGAGCACAGCUCACUGUGCAGGGCUCCUGCUGGGAGGGCCAGAGGGCCAGAGGGUCAGAGCACAGCUCACUGCGCAGGGCUCCUGCUGGGAGGGCCGGAGGGCCAGAGGGCCAGAGCACAGCUCACUGUGCAGGGCUCCUGCUGGGAGGGCCGGAGGGCCAGAGGGCCAGAGCACAGCUCACUGUGCAGGGCUCCUGCUGGGAGGGCCGGAGGGCCAGAGGGCCAGAGCACAGCUCACUGUGCAGGGCUCCUGCUGGGAGGCCCGGAGGGCCAGAGGGCCAGAGCACAGCUCACUGUGCAGGGCUCCUGCUGGGGGCAGUGUCCUGAGGUGACUGCGGCGAUGGGCAGAGAAGGGCAGAGCUCACUGCACUGGGCACCUUACCUGGGGACUGAGCGGCUUGUGACUCACAUCUCAAUAAACACACUUAGGAGAAUGAAA